GAUGAACGCUGGCGGCGUGCUUAACACAUGCAAGUCGAACGGUGAACGAGGGAGCUUGCUCCCUCCGGAUCAGUGGCGAACGGGUGAGUAACACGUGAGCAAUCUGCCCUGGACUCUGGGAUAAGCGUUGGAAACGACGUCUAAUACCGGAUACGAGGCGUGGGGGCAUCCCCAACGCCUGGAAAGAACUUCGGUCCAGGAUGAGCUCGCUGCCUAUCAGGUAGUUGGUGAGGUAACGGCUCACCAAGCCUACGACGGGUAGCCGGCCUGAGAGGGUGACCGGCCACACUGGGACUGAGACACGGCCCAGACUCCUACGGGAGGCAGCAGUGGGGAAUAUUGCACAAUGGGCGCAAGCCUGAUACAGCAACGCCGCGUGAGGGACGACGGCCUUCGGGUUGUAAACCUCUUUUAGUAGGGAAGAAGCGAAAGUGACGGUACCUGCAGAAAAAGCAUCGGCUAACUACGUGCCAGCAGCCGCAGUAACAC
rnacentral:rRNA from 1 species